GGAGGCGUACCCAAGUUGGCUGAAGGGGACUGACUCGAAAUCAGUUAGGGCGUCGUUCGGCGCCGCGGGGGUUCGAAUCCUCUCGCCUCCGCCA
rnacentral:tRNA from 1 species